UGGGGAAUAUUGCACAAUGGGCGAAAGCCUGAUGCAGCAACGCCGCGUGAGCGAUGAAGGCCUUUGGGUCGUAAAGCUCUGUCCUUGGGGAAGAAAAAAAUGACGGUACCCUUGGAGGAAGCCCCGGCUAACUACGUGCCAGCAGCCGCGGUAAUACGUAGGGGGCAAGCGUUAUCCGGAAUUAUUGGGCGUAAAGAGUGCGUAGGUGGUUUUGUAAGCGCGGGGUGAAAGGCAAUGGCUCAACUAUUGUAAGCCCUGCGAACUGUGAGACUUGAGUGCAGGAGAGGAAAGCGGAACUCCUAGUGUAGCGGUGAAAUGCGUAGAUAUUAGGAGGAACACCAGUGGCGAAGGCGGCUUUCUGGACUGUAACUGACACUGAGGCACGAAAGCGUGGGGAGCAAACA
rnacentral:rRNA from 1 species